GCGUUUUGUAGCUCAGAUGGUUAGAGCGCUACGCCGUUACCAAAGUGUUUGCAAACGCUGAGGUUAUAAUUUCGCGAUAAAGGCUAUAUGGGGUCUGUCACUGGUUCAAGUCCAGUCAAAACGCA
rnacentral:tRNA from 2 species